rnacentral:lncRNA from 1 species
CCCUCCCUGUCUCCGGCCUCUUCUCCAACCCCCUUCCAGCAGCAGUACGGAAGCUAUGGGUACCAGAACCCCUGGAACUACAGCCAGUACUACCCCCCCAGCUAGGGGGCGCCAGAGAGGGACGGGACGGGACGGGGUGGGGGGGCAGGAAUGUAAAUAAAGCACAGAAGAAGGCACCUUUGCAGCUGCCUCCAGAGAGAGUUUUGUACUGGCAGGCUGGUGCUCCCUCUGUCGAACCCGACUCGUGUCUCGCAUGCAAGCACUGCCUGUCUGCUUCCGUUUCUGCGCUGGGAGAUGAACCAUCACCGGCGUCCUAUGUACAUAAUCGACAUACCAUUCCCAGACCUCCCCGUGUGUGUGUGUUUUUUACUGUAUAUAAACAGACAUAAUAAAGGGCUUUUGUGUGUAACUCGACAGUGUUGGGUUUGGUUUUUUGAGAGAGCGCCCCCUGCAGUCUGGAGAAUUGUCUUGGCUUUCUAGUUGCCUCAUCCAAUCCAGGGUCUCGGC